UACGUAGGGACCAAGCGUUGUUCGGAUUUACUGGGCGUAAAGGGCGUGUAGGCGGCGUGACAAGUCACUUGUGAAAUCUCCGGGCUUAACUCGGAACGGCCAAGUGAAACUGUCAUGCUAGAGUGCAGAAGGGGCAAUCGGAAUUCUUGGUGUAGCGGUGAAAUGCGUAGAUAUCAAGAGGAACACCUGAGGUGAAGACGGGUUGCUGGGCUGACACUGACGCUGAUGCGCGAAAGCUAGGGGAGCAAACGGG
rnacentral:rRNA from 1 species